CUGUUCUGUAACUGACACUGAGGAGCGGGAGCGUGGGGAGCGAACAGGAUUAGAUACCCUGGUCGUCCACGCCGUAGACGAUGACUGCUAAGUGUUAGGGGGCUUCCGCCCCUUACUGCUGCAGCUAACGCAUUACGCACUCCGGCUGGGGAGUACGGUCGCAAGACUGAAACUCAAAGGAAUUGACGGGGCCCCGCACGAGCGGUGGAGCAUGUGGUUUAAUUCGAAGCAACGCGAAGAACCUUA
rnacentral:rRNA from 1 species